GUAGGGAAUAUUGGGCAAUGGUCGGAAGACUGACCCAGCCAUGCCGCGUGCAGGAAGACGGCCCUCUGGGUUGUAAACUGCUUUUAUCUGGGAAGAAAAAGGCCAUGCGUGGCAAAUUGCCGGUACCAGAUGAAUAAGCACCGGCUAACUCCGUGCCAGCAGCCGCGGUAAUACGGAGGGUGCGAGCGUUGUCCGGAUUUAUUGGGUUUAAAGGGUGCGUAGGCGGCUGAUUAAGUCAGCGGUGAAAGACUUCGGCUUAACCGGAGCAGUGCCGUUGAUACUGGUUGGCUUGAGUGUCGGAGGGGUACAUGGAAUUGAUGGUGUAGCGGUGAAAUGCAUAGAUACCAUCAGGAACACCGAUAGCGAAGGCAUUGUACUGGCCGACAACUGACGCUGAUGCACGAAAGUGUGGGGAGCAAACAGGAUUAGAAACCCUAGUAGUCC
rnacentral:rRNA from 1 species